rnacentral:rRNA from 1 species
AUUGAACGCUGGCGGCAGGCUUAACACAUGCAAGUCGAGCGGAGAUGAGGUGCUUGCACCUUAUCUUAGCGGCGGACGGGUGAGUAAUGCUUAGGAAUCUGCCUAUUAGUGGGGGACAACAUUCCGAAAGGAAUGCUAAUACCGCAUACGUCCUACGGGAGAAAGCAGGGGAUCUUCGGACCUUGCGCUAAUAGAUGAGCCUAAGUCGGAUUAGCUAGUUGGUGGGGUAAAGGCCUACCAAGGCGACGAUCUGUAGCGGGUCUGAGAGGAUGAUCCGCCAAACUGGGACUGAGACACGGCCCAGACUCCGACGGGAGGCAGCAGUGGGGAAUAUUGGACAAUGGGGGAAACCCUGAUCCAGCCAUGCCGCGUGUGUGAAGAAGGCCUUAUGGUUGUAAAGCACUUUAAGCGAGGAGGAGGCUACUGAGACUAAUACUCUUGGAUAGUGGACGUUACUCGCAGAAUAAGCACCGGCUAACUCUGUGCCAGCCGCCGCCGUAACAC